GAUGAAGAACGCAGCGAAAUGCGAUAAGUAAUGUGAAUUGCAGAAUUCAGUGAAUCAUCGAAUCUUUGAACGCACAUUGCGCCCGCUAGUAUUCUGGCGGGCAUGCCUGUCCGAGCGUCAUUUCAACCCUCAAGCCCCCGGGCUUGGUGUUGGGGAUCGGCGAGCCUCCGCGCCCGCCGUCCCCUAAAUCUAGUGGCGGUCUCGCUGUAGCUUCCUCUGCGUAGUAGCACACCUCGCACUGGGAAACAGCGCGGCAACGCCGUUAAACCCCCAACUUCUGAACGUUUGACCUCGGAUCAGGUAGGAAUACCCGCUGAACUUAAGCAUAUCAAUAAGCGGAGGA
rnacentral:misc_RNA from 1 species